rnacentral:lncRNA from 1 species
GCCUUUGAAGCACUUUAUUCCUACUGUGAAUGCAGCCAUUGCCAUGUUAUACGUAGUUAGUGGUCGGUGUGUGGAUCUGUAGGACCCUUUCCUUAAUCACCUCCCCAGCCCAGUGCCUAACCACAGCACUUCGCUCAUCACUCACUGACAGAACUCAAAGGGGCAGGUCAUGCCCCUCAUUCCUGGAACCCAAGUUCACAGAGCUCAUCAUGGCAGAGUUUGGGCUAAAUCCUUCCAUCCUCUGCAAUGGGUGUUCUAAAGCUCAGCGCAGCCUGGGAUCUGCCCUGCCACAGAAAGGAGGAAAGGGACUUUGCACCACUUCCUGUCCAGAAACAGAUUUGAACCUGAAGUUGUGGCCCAGCAACCUGGAGAACAAGAAAGUCAGCACAGCAAAGAGCAGACUGAAAUACAGUGGCUAGAACUCCGAUAUUCCCUGUACCUGCCACCUCGUUACCCCUGCCCGCCAGCCAAUCAGUUUUGGAUCAAUAAACUUUAUGUCCUGUGCUUUGCCGGACGAAUGAGAGAGAACAGCUAAAGACCGAUCUCUGACCUUGCACAUAAACAGCCUACAGAUUGGACUUGACAGUUAAUAAAGGACAGCCCACA